UUCGGUGGUUAUAGCGUUAGGGAAACGCCCGGUUACAUUUCGAACCCGGAAGCUAAGCCUUUCAGCGCCGAUGGUACUGCAGGGGGGACCCUGUGGAAGAGUAGGACGCCGCCGAAC
rnacentral:rRNA from 1 species